AGGAAAAUUUGGGUAUAGCAAGAAGGAAGAUCUGGAAUUACCAUUGUUUUUGAUUUGUCUGCUUAUUUUUGAAGAGAAUGAGAGGCUGAAAGUUGUUAUUGAACAGAUCACGAGCUGUAGCGUCUUGGCAAUUGUUUUCAGCAGCAGAUGAAUGACAAUAAAAAAGAUGAAGUG